UUGAAAUGCAGGUCAGGGUAGACUGCGAAGCAACUGCUGGCAAUAAUACCAACCCUUAGCCAGGACGAGGUUCUGGUUCAGCUCUGAGGGCAGAGAACUGGUGGAGCCAAAGACAAGCUUCCCAGGUCAGAGAAGAUGGCAACCCGAAGAAAGCCCCAGCUCCUUGUGCGCCUGACACUGUUCAGUGUGCUCUUCUCACAAAUGCUGGCUUGGCCUCUUUUCGAAGCACCUUUUCUGAACAUACCAUCUGAAGGAGCAAAUGAGCUUGAUCCAGCUUUACUACCACUAAACCCUGACGUCUCGCCUAAUGCAUUUGCUGAAAAUGACAG